CUUUAAAAGAUCCCAAGUGGAAGAAAGACAUGAUUGAAGAAAUGAGAGCAUUGACAAAGAAUGAAAUAUAGGAACUUGUUUCACCCUCCAUAGAAAAAGAAGAUAGUUGGUUGCAAAUGGGAGUUCACCGUAAAACACAAAGCAGACGGAUUGAUUGAAAGGCAAAAGCUGAUGAGAUAGCAAAAUUGAUGAAUGAGAAUGAGCAGCUAAAAGUUGCAAUUGAGGGUUUAAAGAGAAAAUCCAAUGAGGUUGAAAUUGAGGCCUUGCGAGAGGAAUAUCAUCAAAGAGUUGCAACUCUUGAGAGAAAGGUCUAUGCUCUUACUAAGGAAAGAGAUACGCUCCGGAGAGAGCAGAGUAAAAAAAGUGAUGCUGCUGCCCUAUUGAAAGAAAAA